AGAAGGCGGAGCCCCGGACUGGCUGGAAAAGAGAACUCCAUCUCAGGAACCAUGGUUUGCCCUGGAGAGCUUAGCACUGGGCUGAGCACACCGUGUGGGAUUCAACGUGCUAAAAUGCAGAACCUGAUGCCCAGCAAAGGGGAAAGGAUAGCAGGAGCCUUGAUCCACCCAGGAAGAGGUGCCAGCUGGAUCAGCAAGAGGCUGGUGGAGAACAAGAAGCUGCUAUGAACCAAUCUUUAGAAAACAGCAGGAUCUCCGAGGAGAGAAAGAAUUUCUCUCCAGCCAAAAGCUUCAUGAGAUGGAAGGGGAUAUCCUAUCUCCUAUAUUGUAUCCUCAUCAUGGUCUCAAUAAACCCACUUGGAAGAUGCCCAU
ensembl:lncRNA novel transcript